rnacentral:rRNA from 1 species
AGUGAACGCUGGCGGUAGGCCUAACACAUGCAAGUCGAACGGCAGCACAGUAAGAGCUUGCUCUUACGGGUGGCGAGUGGCGGACGGGUGAGGAAUACAUCGGAAUCUACUUUUUCGUGGGGGAUAACGUAGGGAAACUUACGCUAAUACCGCAUACGACCUACGGGUGAAAGCAGGGGAUCUUCGGACCUUGCGCGAUUGAAUGAGCCGAUGUCGGAUUAGCUAGUUGGCGGGGUAAAGGCCCACCAAGGCGACGAUCCGUAGCUGGUCUGAGAGGAUGAUCAGCCACACUGGGACUGAGACACGGUCCAGACUCCUACGGGAAGCAGCAGUGGGGAAUAUUGGACAAUGGGCGCAAGCCUGAUCCAGCCAUACCGCGUGGGUGAAGAAGGCCUUCGGGUUGUAAAGCCCUUUUGUUGGGAAAGAAAAGCAGCAGGUUAAUACCCCGCUGUUCUGACGGUACCCAAAGAAUAAGCACCGGCUAACUUCGUG